rnacentral:rRNA from 1 species
AGUGAACGCUGGCGGUAGGCCUAACACAUGCAAGUCGAACGGCAGCACAGUAAGAGCUUGCUCUUACGGGUGGCGAGUGGCGGACGGGUGAGGAAUACAUCGGAAUCUACUUUUUCGUGGGGGAUAACGUAGGGAAACUUACGCUAAUACCGCAUACGACCUACGGGUGAAAGCAGGGGAUCUUCGGACCUUGCGCGAUUGAAUGAGCCGAUGUCGGAUUAGCUAGUUGGCGGGGUAAAGGCCCACCAAGGCGACGAUCCGUAGCUGGUCUGAGAGGAUGAUCAGCCACACUGGAACUGAGACACGGUCCAGACUCCUACGGGAGGCAGCAGUGGGGAAUAUUGGACAAUGGGCGCAAGCCUGAUCCAGCCAUACCGCGUGGGGGAAGAAGGCCUUCGGGUUGUAAAGCCCUUUUGUUGGGAAAGAAAAGCAGCAGGUUAAUACCCCGCUGUUCUGACGGUACCCAAAGAAUAAGCACCGGCUAACUUCGUGC